UCUAGUGGAUUGGAAGCGCAGAUAAUCACAGGCUCGGAGACACUGUUUGGAUAACCCACCACAUUAAGCAAAACACCGUUUAUGGUUUUAACUGAAGAUUUCACAAUGUCUCGCGCCGACGAGGUCCACCGCAUUACGGAAAACGCCUAUAAGACCAUCAUGGAACAGUUCAACCCCUGUUUGCGGAAUUUCAUUGCUAUGGGGAAGAACUACGAGAAGGCUCUCUCCAGUGUGACGUUUGCAGCGAAGGGUUAUUUUGAUGCUCUGGUGAGAAUGGGCGAGCUGGCCAGUGAAAGUCAAGGAUCGAAAGACUUGGGGGACGUGCUUUUCCAGAUGGCAGAGGUCCACCGGCAGAUUCAAGUACAGUUAGAGGAAAUGUUGAAAUGCUUCCACAGUGAGCUGAUGUCUGAGCUGGAGAAGAAGGUGGAUUUGGAUGCAAGAUACCUGACUGCAGCUCUCAAGAAGUACCAGAUUGAGCACAAAAGCAAAGGAGAGAGUCUGGAGAAAUGCCAAGGUGAGCUGAAGAAACUGCGGAGGAAGAGCCAGGGCAGCAAAAACCCCUCCAAGUAUGGCGAGAAGGAGUUGCAGUACGUUGAUACCAUUAGCAGUAAACAGAGCGAGCUAGAUACCUUCAUCGCAGAAGGCUACAAAACUGCGCUGUCAGAGGAACGUAGGAGAUACUGUUUCCUGGUGGACCGCCAGUGUGCCGUAGCCAAGAACAGCAGCGCCUACCAUGGCAAGGGGAAAGACCUGCUCACUCAGAAGAUCCCAGUAUGGCAGCAGGCCUGCUCAGACCCCAACAAGCUACCCGAGAGGGCGAUGAUGCUCGCCCAGCAGAUGAUCUCUGGUUCCAGCACCAUACUCUCCAGCCCUCUGCACUCUUCUAAGGGCAAUCUGGUCAUCUCAGAUCCCAUUCCUGGAGCUCAACCACUACCUGUGCCGCCGGAACUCGCUGCCUUUAUGGGGAGUGGCCUGGGACACCAGGGGAGGCUAAUGGGUCCUGAUGGCAUGUCUCUGGUGAACGGUACGACGGGGGUUCAUGGGGAUGAGUACUGGACAGAUGGUGGGGUCCCUCAGGGUAGACCGCCCUCCCCUCAGACUCAGACUCAAACACAGAGUCAGCCCCAGAGACAGGUCAGCGAUGUCUACUCCAACACACUACCUGUGCGCAGGGCCCAGCCCGCUAAGAACAAGACCAUUGUGGGAGAGACAAGAACUCUGCCCAGGUCAAGUUCCAUGGCGGCAGGUCUGGAGAAGAACGGACGCUCUCGAGUACAGGCCAUUUUUUCCCAUGCUGCUGGUGACAACGGCACCCUGCUCAGCUUCACUGAGGGUGACAUCAUCACCCUGCUGGUGCCUGAGGCUCGUGACGGCUGGCACUAUGGAGAGAACGAGAAAAACAAGAUGCGUGGCUGGUUUCCGUUUUCCUACACUCGAGUGCUGCCCGACAGUGAGAGCGAGAAGUUAAAAGUCAAUCUUCAUCAUGGGAAGAGCAGUAGCACAGGGAAUCUACUGGAGAGAGAGGACGUAUAUCUGCCUAUGUCCGAUUAUGGACUGACUGCCCGGCUCUUGGCACAGAGCCUUACACAGACUCGACCACGGCCAUACAGCAUGGCAGGCUUUGCACAGAAACGUGUUAUUGACUCAUCUAUAAACAUACGAGUUUGACGUCAUCCAUCUGAUUCAGCGACCAAUCCAAAAACCCCAAAUGCCAUGUCACAGAGCGAGUAACCUACAACCAUCUAACGCAACACUAACAGUCUUGUGAAUGCGGUGGAAAUGUAGCCAUGAAUAGCCUCGGUCUGAGGUGCAAACCCCUGGACUCUCUUUACCUUCCAGUUUGGGUCCUGAAUUGUCCCGGUUCUGAGUGUUGCAGGACCUCCUGACCGUUCCAUGGAGCUGCUCCUCAGACCAACCUUCAUGGAUGUCCGAUCUGCUCCUCUUUACUACUAGAGGGGCCCUUGCUGUGGCCUGUGCAUUGUACCGCCCUCUUCUGUUCUGUCUGUGUCAUUGCAACAGCAUGUGACGAGCAUAAGUGCUUUCCCACAUGAGGUCCAAUGAAGGGCAGUAAAUAUUGUGUGUUCUGUUUUGAAAGAUUAGAUUAAUGAUCUUAACUCUGUAACGUAAUAAUUAUCAGCAUUUGUAGUGAGGAAGUUGAAAAGGUAAUGACUGUUCUAAAUGGUUGGGUUGUUUUUGUGUAAACCAAUCUGGCUCAUCAAAAAAUGACAAUGUACAUUUAUUGGAGGAGAUUGAAGAUCUUAAAUGAAAUAAACAUAAGAAUAUGCCUGCUAUCUGACUGCUGAAAUGUGAGCAUUUAAAACUGGAAUGUAAAAUUUUUUACUUUUUUUUGUGUAUGUAAUCAUUUUUUUUAUUUUUACUAUAUAUAUUCAGUUUUAUAUCUUAAGACUUUUUAUCAGUUAAAAACAUUGUGACACAUGCCUCUGUAUCACCACUCAUUUCUGAAAGCUGUGCUCCAGAGACAAAAUGAAACCGCUUCCCAGGAGUCUUGAUAACCGUGGUCACUCCACAACAGUCUGCCAUUCUUUGAUUUAUUACUGCAUCCUCAAGGUCUAGUGAUUCAUAUGCACAUUCUCUGGUUAAAGAAAUCUGUACAGUAUAUUAGUUGUAACAUAGUGCAGUUUCACAUGCAAGCAUCACAGACUCUGGGCUUUUCCGGCUGUUUGGAUUGUGCUCAUUGCAAUUCUUUUCAGUGAUGUAACUAAGAGGAGUUGUGUGUUGGUGAUAUGUUACAUUGUUUGAUUGGUUUUGCACUAUUAUAUGCUUCUGCUGUCACUCGUGUCACUGUUGUUGUUUCUUAUGAAUUUCAUUGAUAUGAUGGUUUGUUUCUUUGUUUGCCCACUGCUUUUGCUCACAAGCAUUGCAAAUGUAAAUGUCUUUUGUUUCACAUACUGAAUAAUACAGCCUAGGUAUCACACAAUGCAUUUACUGCGCAAUAAUAAAAAUUUAUGAAUUGCAGGUUAUGUAAAUAUGCAUGUUUGUUUCUGCCUGAGGGACUGAAAAUUACAUUUCUAGAAUAGAAUCUUUAUCAUAAAAGCUCUUGUACAGAUAACAUUUAAUUCAAUAGAUUUCUUGCCACAGGGGACACACACAAAGUAGUUUAGAUGCUAAUAUGAACUGCAUGUUUUGUAAUGGAGCAUAAAUUGCUGUUUGUGUGGGGAAAGUUAGGUAUUUUGUGUCUGACCAGCUUUUAAAAAAAAAAAAACAUUUUAUGUUUUCUUGUUUUUUGGCUUUUCUAAUGUUCUGUUUGUUGUGGUCAGCUCCAAAUGUAUAUGCAUAUUCUUGUCUUUCAUGAAAUAAAAAAGCAAAUGAAAACAACA